GAAUGUUUUUUCACACCUUGAACAUGCCUGAUCCUGUCUGAUCUUGGAAGCUAAGCAGGGUCGGGCCUGGUUAGUACUUAGAUAGGAGAUGGGAGACCACGUAGGAAGACCGGGUGCUGUAGGCA
rnacentral:rRNA from 1 species